rnacentral:rRNA from 1 species
AGCGAACGCUGGCGGCAGGCUUAACACAUGCAAGUCGAGCGGACCUUUCGGGGUCAGCGGCGGACGGGUGAGUAACGCGUGGGAACGUGCCUUCCGGUUCGGAAUAACCCUGGGAAACUAGGGCUAAUACCGGAUACGCCCUUAUGGGGAAAGGUUUACUGCCGGAAGAUCGGCCCGCGUCUGAUUAGCUAGUUGGUGGGGUAACGGCCUACCAAGGCGACGAUCAGUAGCUGGUCUGAGAGGAUGAUCAGCCACACUGGGACUGAGACACGGCCCAGACUCCUCCGGGAGGCAGAAGUGGGGAAUAUUGGACAAGGGGCGCAAGCCUGAUCCAGCCAUGCCGCGGGAGUGAUGAAGGCCUUAGGGUUGUAAAGCUCUUUGAUCCGGGACGAUAAUGACGGUACCGGAGGAAUAAGCCCCGGCUAACUUC